AGCAGCCGCGGUAAUUCCAGCUCCAAUAGCGUAUAUUAAAGUUGUUGCAGUUAAAAAGCUCGUAGUUGAAUUUCGGGAUCAGCAGGUUGGUCGUGCCUCUGGUAUGCACUGGUUUCGCUGAUUCCUCCUUUCUGAAGAACUGUAAUGUCAUUAAUUUGGUGUUGCAGGGAAACAGGACUGUUACUUUGAAAAAAUUAGAGUGUUUAAAGCAGGCUAACGCUUGAAUACAUUAGCAUGGAAUAAUGAAAUAGGACGUUUGAUCCUAUUUUGUUGGUUUCUAGGAUUGACGUAAUGAUUAAUAGGGAUAGUUGGGGGCAUUAGUAUUCAAUUGUCAGAGGUGAAAUUCUUGGAUUUAUUGAAGACUAACUACUGCGGAAGCAUUUGCCAAGGAUGUUUUCAUUAAUCAAGAACGAAAGUUAGGGGAUCGAAGACGAUCAGAUACCGUCGUAGUCUUAACCAUAAACUAUGCCGACUAGGGAUCGGAUGAUGUUAAUUUUUUAAUGACUCA
rnacentral:rRNA from 1 species